ensembl:lncRNA
AUUUUGCCUCAGUAACUCUGCCACUUUUGUAGCUGAAGGACAGCGUUGAUUGUGAAGAAGCAAUUUGGAGCAGUAGGAGGGUCAAAUGGGCCAUAAUUCUGGUGUUGAAGAGUGCGGCUGGCUGGGCAGGCACAGAGUUAACAACCAACAGAGCAGCCACCAGCUUGACAUCAGGAAGAAGAUGCCAGGAGCACAGAUGGUCCACAACCCAGCUAAUUAACUUCUGAAGAAGAAACAACAUCUAAUACAUCUUCUGUGAACAUAGAGUUUGGUUGGGCACAGUUGGGGCAGAGAACAAGCAGACCUCCUCAGCAACUCUUUUUUACCUCCUAAAAUGGUGGAGGGAGCCGGGCCCAUGGCCGUGCGGUUAGGUUUGCCUGCUCCUCUUCAGUGGCCCAGGGUUUCGCCGGUUCAGAUCCUGGGCAUGGACAUUGCACUGCUCAUCAAGCCAUGCUGAGUCGGCGUCCCAUAUGCCACAACUAGAAGGACCCACAACUACAAUAUACAACUAUGUACUGGGGGGAUUUGGAGAGAAAAAGCAGAAAAAAAAAAUGGUGGAGCACUCACCCACUUCCUAUGGAUAACCACCUACUCACAAGACCUGCAGAGAAGAAUUCCAAAUAAAUAUGGUAAACACUCUACCCUAAAGGAGGGGGAGCAUAACUCCUCACUCCUUAAGUAUGGGAUGCACAUAGUCACUUCCUUCCAAAAAGGACAGGAUGGAAAGAGUGUAACUUUACAGUGGAGAAACCUGAUAAACACUACUUCUGCCAGGUGAUGAAGCUCAACACCAAUAGUCAAAUUAUGCUAAUAGUAUGUACUCUUGAUAGGAUGUGAUGAAAAUGGCACUUGACCUCUGUGAUCUUCCUCCCCAAAACCCAUGACCCCAGUCUGAUCAUGAGAAAACCAUCAGACCAAUUCCAAUAGAGGGGCAUCCUACAGUAUACCUGAUGAGUAUUCCUCAAAACUCUCAAGGUCAUCAAAAACAGGGAACACCUGAGAAGCUGUCACAGCCAAGAGUAGCCCAAGGAGACAUGGCAACUAUGUAAUAUGGUAUCCUGGAUGGGAUCUUAGAAUGGAAAGAGGACAUUAAGUAAAAACUAAGGAAAUCUGAAUAAACUACAGACUUUGGUUAAUAAUAAUGUAUCAAUAUUGGUUCAUGAAUUGUAACAAAUGUACCAUGUAAUGUAAGAUGUUAAUAACAGAGAAAGCUGUGGGGAGGCAUAUGGGAACUCACUGUACCAUCUGCUCAAUUUUUCUGUGAAUUUAAACUAUUCUAAAAAAAUAAAAUCUAGUAGUAAUAAUAAUAAUACCUGCGGGAAUCAAAUGAAGACUAAGAGGGGACAAAAGCACCUCCAACCCCUUUAGGCUUCAUAGUCAUUUUCUUAGUUCUUUGGCUUUCGGACUUUCAUUCUUUUGGGGCACUUACAUUACACCCACCUCCUUAGAGCUUAUCCUACCACACACUGUCCGUAUUUCCCAUGACUGUCCUCCACGGGCCUCAUUCAGUCUCAUGGCUUCUGUCACUACCGCUCUUCCGGCGGUUUCCAAAUCUUGUCUGGUUCAGAUCACUGUUCAUCCAACUCGCUAUUACACAGCGCCCCCUAGACGUUUAAUUCAGCAUCUCCAAACCCAAACCCUGAUUCUUCCUAAACCCGUUUCUCUCAUUUCUUGUCUCAGUUCACAGAGAGGCCAGGAGCCUAAGCAUCCACCCCCAGACUUUCCUUUCUCACGGCUCCCGGCCAGUCAGUCCCCAAGUUCUGUCAAUGCCUCUUGCUUAGGGCCUUUUGUACUGUGCUCUCCUUUCCAUUCCGCAGCCAGGCUCUCAGCACCCCUGGGCUCCCUGCCUUCAGGUAUUCUCUUCUGCUCCCUGUCUUUUCUUGCUUCAUU